AGGGUGUGGGGCUUCCCUUUAGAGUGCUUGAGUGCACUCAAGUGUAAUUACAUUUUACAUGUAUCAUCUAGACCGUUGAUUUUUCACCUUUCAUUUGCUUUCCGUCUGCAAUGUUGAUUCAAUUCAUCCAUUCCAUUACAUAAAGGUUAUUUUAUCCUUUCAAUUUUGUUUCAUUCCUUCUCAUAACUAAACUUUGUAUUUUUUUCAAACCCUUUCUUCUUA
rnacentral:lncRNA from 1 species